rnacentral:tRNA from 1 species
AUUUAAAUAGCUUAAAGAGAGUAUAAUAUUGAAGAUAUUAGGGUGAUUAUUUAAUCUUUAAAUA